GGUAAUAUAUAUAUAUAUAUACACAGGCUGGUAAUAUAUAUAUAUAUAUAUAUAUAGGUUAUAUACAGGCUGGUAAUAUAUAGGUUAUAUACAGGCUGGUAAUAUAUAUAGGUUAUAAACAGGCUGGUAAUAUAUAUAGGUUAUAAACAGGCUGGUAAUAUAUAUAGGUUAUAUACAGGCUGGUAAUAUAUAUAGGUUAUAUACAGGCUGGUAAUAUAUAUAGGUUAUAUACAGGCUGGUAAUAUAUAUAGGUUAUAUACAGGCUGGUAAUAUAUAUAGGUUAUAUACAGGCUGGUAAUAUAUAUAGGUUAUAUACAGGCUGGUAAUAUAUAUAGGUUAUAUACAGGCUGGUAAUAUACAUAGGUUAUAAACAGGCUGGUAAUAUAUAUAGGUUAUAUACAGGCUGGUAAUAUAUAUAGGUUAUAAACAGGCUGGUAAUAUAUAGGUUAUAAACAGGCUGGUAAUAUAUAUAGGUUAUAAACAGGCUGGUAAUAUAUAUGGGUUAUAAACAGGCUGGUAAUAUAUAUAGGUUAUAAACAGGCUGGUAAUAUAUAAAUACAUACACAGGUUGAUAAUACAUUCUAUAGGU